rnacentral:rRNA from 1 species
UACGGAGGGAGCUAGCGUUGUUCGGAAUUACUGGGCGUAAAGCGCACGUAGGCGGCUUUUUAAGUCAGGGGUGAAAUCCCGGGGCUCAACCCCGGAACUGCCCUUGAAACUGGAGAGCUAGAAUCUUGGAGAGGCGAGUGGAAUUCCGAGUGUAGAGGUGAAAUUCGUAGAUAUUCGGAAGAACACCAGUGGCGAAGGCGACUCGCUGGACAAGUAUUGACGCUGAGGUGCGAAAGCGUGGGGGAGCAAACAGG